rnacentral:rRNA from 1 species
CCCCCGGGCAAGGGGGUGUGGCGGACGGCUGAGUAACACGUGGCUAACCUACCCUCGGGAGGGGGAUAACCCCGGGAAACUGGGGAUAAUCCCCCAUAGGGGAGGAGUCCUGGAACGGUUCCUCCCUUAAAGGGGUAUGGGCUAUUUCCCGCUCAUACCCGCCCGAGGAUGGGGCUGCGGCCCAUCAGGCUGUUGGCGGGGUAACGGCCCGCCAAACCUAUAACGGGUAGGGGCCGUGGGAGCGGGAGCCCCCAGUUGGGCACUGAGACAAGGGCCCAGGCCCUACGGGGCGCACCAGGCGGGAAACGUCCCCAAUGCGCGAAAGCGUGAGGGCGCUACCCCGAGUGCCCCCGUAAGGGGGCUUUUCCCCGCUCUAAAAAGGCGGGGGAAUAAGCGGGGGGCAAGUCUGGUGUCAGCCGCCGCGGUAACACCAGCUCCGCGAGUGGUCGGGACGCUUACUGGGCCUAAAGCGCCUGUAGCCGGCCCACUAAGUCGCCCCUUAAAGACCCGGGCUCAACCCGGGAAAUGGGGGCGAUACUGGUGGGCUAGGGGGCGGGAGAGGCUAGGGGUACUCCCAGAGGAGGGGCGAAAUCCGUAGAUCCUGGGAGGACCACCAGUGGCGGAGGCGCCUAGCUAGAACGCGCCCGACGGUGAGAGGCGAAAGCCGGGGCAGCAAAUGGGAUUAGAUACCCCAGUAGUCCCGGCUGUAAACGAUGCGGGCUAGGUGUCAGGUGGGCUUAGAGCUCACCUGGUGCCGCAGGGAAGCCGUUAAGCCCGCCGCCUGGGG